AUGCACUCCCAAGUCUUGACCUGCGACACGGUGGUCCUCGCGCCAACGCUCCCGCUGCCAGGCUCCUGCACUACCGGCACCAAUGCUCCCGCUGCCAGGCUCCUACACUCACUGGCGCUCGUCGCUGCCUGCAUCGCUCGAGCCACCAGCAGGAUGGCUUUGCGCGAGAUGCAGGAGAGGGUACCUGAGAGAGAGAGAGAGAGAGAGAGAGAGAGAGAGAGAGAGAGAGAGCGCGCAGGGGUCAGCCGCAGCUCGGCGAGAGGAGGAGGCGCAGAGACGGUCGGGCCCCUACCUCCCUUCCUCCUCUCAGCCACCCAUGGCUCUCCAGCACCAGUUGCAGCCUCGUCCAUCUCCGUGGCGUCGGCGGACGUAUUUGCCUCUCCAACUCCAGAUCGUGAAAUUUGGAGGAAACGAGGAGAUGAGAGGAGAGGUGGCGGCCGAGAGUGGUUGCGCCGAAAUCCAUGGGCUGAGGGAUGUGGCGGCUAG
rnacentral:rRNA from 1 species